rnacentral:rRNA from 1 species
GAUGAACGCUGGCGGCGUGCCUAAUACAUGCAAGUCGAGCGAACAGACGAGGAGCUUGCUCCUUCGACGUUAGCGGCGGACGGGUGAGUAACACGUAGGUAACCUACCUAUAAGACUGGGAUAACUUCGGGAAACCGGAGCUAAUACCGGAUAAUAUUUCGAACCGCAUGGUUCGAUAGUGAAAGAUGGCUUUGCUAUCACUUAUAGAUGGACCUGCGCCGUAUUAGCUAGUUGGUAAGGUAACGGCUUACCAAGGCAACGAUACGUAGCCGACCUGAGAGGGUGAUCGGCCACACUGGAGCUGAGACACGGUCCAGACUCCUACGGGAGGCAGCAGUAGGGAAUCUUCCGCAAUGGGCGAAAGCCUGACGGAGCAACGCCGCGUGAGUGAUGAAGGGCUUCGGAUCGUAAAACUCUGUUAUUAGGGAAGAACAAACGUGUAAGUAACUGUGCACGUCUUGACGGUACCGAAUCAGAAAGCCACGGCUAACUACGU